UAUCUGAACUCAGCGAAACUGACAGGGAUGAUUUUAAUAUCCUUACCGUAAGACAGGAUUUUCCCCAUGGGCUUUGGUACACGAAUGUUAUGAUUAAAUAGAGUCAGAGGUCAACACUGUGAGGGAGUUUUUUUUUAGCCAAACUGUUCAUACCUGUCGUGACACAUCUCCAGAACAACUAAGCUUUGAACCCAGAUGUUUGGGCCCAGAGGUAGGGGUGCUACCACUGCAUCACAAAACCCAGUGCAUGAUAGUAAUUUUCCUGAAUUACUCAACUAACGGUCAGUUGUCCAAUUAAUGAGCAGGCUUUCAAAGUUGAAGGGCCAAUUGGAGGCUGCCUUUUCAAGUAAAUGCACUUCCAUUUUAAGGUACCAUUGUUCCAAUUUUUUAAAAAACUUAAUUAAUAAAUCCCUACAUGAUAUUGCUGUAUACCAACAGUGAAUGUAACUUAAAGCGAGUUUGUCUCUGUGACCUCCAUAAAGGAUAACUUGAUGUAGUUCUCUCCAGUCAUUUCCGAAAGAUAACCUCUUCAAAGGAAAAAAAAGACUGCAAAGUGGACAGAGCUUCAACCCUACCACUCUGGCAUUAUAUCUGGAUUUCUGACAGUUAUCAGAAAUUCAAAUCAGAACAAAUUUCUUCACCUGAAGUAAAGGGAGUUAUGGUUGCUGAACUUUUACAAUAAAUGAUGUAGCGAUCCUGAUGUAAUUGUGCUGACUCAUGCUGACAUUCAGAAAAGGGAAAUUGUUCAUGCUUAAGAUCUUUAAGUUAACAUUAAAUCACAUUUGUGCUGACUUGUAUGGACCCAGGGAGAAAGACCAAAUUCUACACACAAGAUCAACACUAUCAAUGUCUUGAUGCUCAACAUGUUAAAGAAUUAUGGUUUGUUUUGACAGGGUUACUAAAAAAUGAAAAGAGUUUCUGGAUUAUUCUAUUUAAAGAAAACAGCCUCCAGGGAUGUUUGCACAACAAACAUACUGUUCGAUCAGUUCAGAAUUGCUCCCAAGAACUUAGUACUAUUGUACAAACAAGGUCUUCAUAAAAUGUAGUAAUAAGGGUGAUUUUACAAUGCUGUGCAAAAUACAACUUUCCUAAAUCAACAUAUUGGAAAUUCUUACUUUUUGUGCUUCUACAAGAAACAGCAACCAAGAGCUGAGAACCACAUUUACAAAUGGAUCAGAAUUCUUCCUGACCUAGACUAAUUUCUUUGACCUGAAGGACAAAUUUUAAUGGAACUGACUCACUGGAGGCUGGGUGUCGUGCUGGCUGGGUGUCGUGCUAGCUGUGUGUCAGAAAUCCAGUCAGUGCAGUAGUGGGCAUUACAAAGGACAAUUUGCAAGAACUACCCAAGAAAAGCAAAAAUAACAUUAUAUUGUACAAGAGGAGAGUGCUGACUGAUUGACAAGUGGACUCUGAUUGAUAGAACUGUGGCAUGGAGAAUUCACCAGUCGAUGAUGAUUGGCAAUUAAUUGCCAAGUUUUUUUUGAAAGAAUUUAAACCAGACAGGUCGACUCUGCAUUGAUCAAUGCAUUGCUCUGAGAAAUGAAGCGUAAAAUGAUUGUCACCUAUUUUGUUGGGCCCUGUUGUUAAAUGCAAUUAAUCAAACACUCAGGAUUAUCUAGCAAAUGUUGUCCAAUCAUAGAUUCACAUCUAAUAUUGAACAUUAUUACAAUGAAUAUUGCAAGCGUAGAUUGUUUAGAGAUGAUCAGUACCUUGCUUGUUGUGAGCAGCUGAUAUGCUAUGUAAUACAACCAACCAGUCUCUGGGAAGACUAGCCUUUGUAAACAGCAUCACACUGGCACUGGAAUUCAUGCACUGCAUAAUUUAUGUGAUAAGCAGAACAUCUUUUUGGCUUGGCAGCAAUAUCCUGUCAGUGACAAACACUACUGCUGUUGAGCAGCAUAGUAGCAACAUGAAACAGCUAGCUUCACUAGCUGCUCAACAUUUUGAGAUAUCCCAGGGUAAAUUGAAAUAAACUGGACACUUUCCAGGACCAAAAAUGACAGCCUCAGGCCUAUUUAUAAGCAAAAGUGAAAUAAAACUAGACAGUUUUGUUGUGCAUCAGAACCCAAUAAUUCAUCUUACUUAUUGUGGUCACAGGGGACUGCCUUUCUUCCACUCUGUUGUUGUGGUUCCUUAAUAGUCCAAUGCUUUUUACCUAUACAUCCCGAGACAGGUGGGACUAGUAGUCUUGGAAGGGAUAGGUAGGUGUGAUGCUUGGUCUUCGUGUGCUUCUUCCACUAUUUGCACGUGGUCUCUCCCUGUGCUUGUCACAGAUCCUUGAGAUGAUCAGCACUUUUGCAGAUGCUUCUUCUCCAGUUUGAGUGGUCUUGGGCAAGAGAUUCCCACGAGUCAGAAGGGAUAUUGCAUCCUUUUAAGGGAGACUUUGAGAACAUCCUUAAAGUAUUUCUUCUGCCCUCUUGGUAACUGCAUUCCUUGAUAAAGCUUGGAGUGUGUUUUGGAAAUCUGGUGACAGACAUGUGGACAACGUGGCCUGCAGCUGAUUGACAGUGACCUGUCUCAAUGCUGGGGAUGUUGACCUGAUGUUGACCUGAGAGAGAACAAUGAUAUUGGAGCAUCAAUCCUGCCAGUUGUCUUUCAGAAUUUUGUGGAGUCAUCCCUAUAGAAAUAUCACCAGCGAUUUGAGGUGUUUUCUGUGCAUUGGAGAUUUGGACAAUGCAUUGAGAAAGAUAGCCAACACAACUGCCUAUGAAAUAAGUGCUGUUCAAGAUUUUGUCAUCAGAUAUGCUGUUCCUUAAAUGGCCAAAGACUGCAAUGGCACCCUGGAGGCAGUAUUGAAUUUCAUUGUUUUCUGGCCUUGUUGAAAGAAGGCUUCCACUGUAUCAGCAAUGAUCUAUGUUGAGUGGCUAGCCAUAGAUCAUGAUAGUCAGUGCACAGUGGAGCAAGCUUGGAGAGGACCUUCAUCUUCAAAAUGCUUAGCCCAAAGCCCAUUCUCUCAUUCACCUCAGAGAUUGCAUUGAUGGUGGUUUGGAGCUCAGUUUCUGAAUGUGUGCACAUAGAAGCAACAUCUGUGUACUACAGCUCAUUGACAGAGAUUGUGGUAUUCUUAGUUCUGAACUGGAGCUGACGCCAUUGCUUUGCACAGAAGCUCUUGCACAGAAGCUCCACUCCAGUGGGAAACUUCACAGAUAUGUGGAGGUCACAGAGAAGAGCCUUGGUGCAAGGACAUAGCCUAGCUCAACCUCUGUUUGUACACAUAUCGAGUCUGUGGUGGAUCCGUUGGUGAGGACCACCACUUGUAUAGCAUCAUGCAAUGGGUGCAAAAUACUGUCAAAUUUCUGUGGUCAACCAAGCAUGAAGACAGUGCUUCAUUAUCCCUCAUAGCUGAUAGAGUUGAUGGCAUUUGUGAGGUUGAAAAGGGUCAUGUUAAAGGUUGCUGCUGCUCUCUGCACAUCAAGACAAGUCCAAGAAAAGUGAAGAUCAUGUCACUGAGCUUCUUGAUGGAUGGGAUCCACAUUGUAACUCUGGUAGGACCUCUUCAACCACUGCUAUAAAGUGAUCGAAGAGAACUUUUGCAAAUAACCCUCCCUAUGGCGGACAGCAGGGAGACCCCUGUGUAGUUACCACAAUCAGUCAUGUCUCCUUUCUUGAUGGUCACAAUUACAGCGUCUUGUAAAUCCCCUGGCAUGCUUGCCUCCUUCUGAAUGAGGGAGAUGAGUUACUGAAAUUGUUUUGUUCUCUGCCGUAAUUUGGUACUUAGCAUAGCCUCAGUUUGUGCCAGCAGACUUGUUCAUUCUCAGCUGCUGGACGGUCUUUUCAAUAUCAUUUUGGAAGCAGUCACGCUGAGGUAGUGAUGGGUAGCAUACUGUGGAAUGUUGUCAAGGACUCCACAUUAAGGACAGAGACUCAAUGUAGGAGAUUCUCCUACAGUGCUCCUUCUAAUUUUUGAAAGGAUUUUUAAUGUUUAGUUUUAUCACAUGUUUUCGAAGGAACUGAGUACGUGAGAGCAAGAGUAGGCCAUUUGACCAUUCAAGCUUGCUCCAUUAUUUAAAAUUAUGGGUGACCUGGUUGUGGCCUCACAACAAUAGUGAAGAAUUUCAGCUGCAGUUCAAUCCUUGGCCUGCCUAUACGCUUGGAAAGGUGGAAAUUAAGUCAGGCAGGAAGGUAGUCUCCAGUCCCAUAUGACCUCAAAGAAUAAAUUGUUUCAAAUAUGAGUGCAAGUAAAUAAACACAUUCCCCAGUACAAAAUAUGUUGAAUUCAAUUGUGCAACUGAAACGAGCAAACCAAUGAUGACUUGUGUUUGCAUGUUUGAAACAGUGAAAUGUUAAUACAUUGCAGACUUACAAGAAUACAACAAUAUCUGCGGAACUCUAUUGCAUAUUAAUACUAUUGUUUUGUUUCCUUAAAUCCUCCUAGUUUGUUCACGUACCUAGAUGUUCUUGGGAGCAAAAUCAGGCUUGGCCAUGAUACAGAAUUCUGUCAGACAUUUUAUGUUCCCACCCCACCACACAACUUAAAAAACUUGAGUCAGUAUUAUUAACAAGUUCCAACACGAGUUUCACCAAUAGGUACAACUGAUUUGUAGUUAAGGUUUAAACUUUAAAAAUGCAUGUGCUUCCAAAUUUGUACACUGGAUGUAUAUUUUAUAAAUAAUUUUAAUGGUUCUACACAAGCAUAUUCAACUUAAACUAGGGCAGCAAGUUGGCUGAGUAGUUAGCUCUGCUGCCUCACAGUGCUAGGGACACAGGUUCCACCCUCAGGCAACUGUCUGUGUGGAAUUUGCACAAUUCUCAUGGCCGCCUGGAUUUCCUCUGGGUGCUCUGGUUUCCUCCCCCAAUCCAAAGAUGUGCAAGAUUGACCAUGCUAUAUUGCCCAUAGUGUCCAGGGAUAUGCAGGCUAGGUGGAUUAGCCAUGGCAAAUGCAAGGUUACUAGGAUAGGGUAAGGGGGUGUGUCUUGGUGGGCUGCUCUUUAGAGGGUCAGUGUAGACUGCUUCCACGCUGUAGGGAUUCUAAUGAAUUUCCAUAAUUUAAAACUAACUUUCCCCUUUCACCACAAAGGUGCAUCAAAAUGGAUUAAGCAUUUGGCCCAUAUCCCUCUAAGCCCUUCCUAUUCAGCUUUUCAGUCCCCUAAUUUAGCAGGACAUCUAAAUGAUGACUGCAACUGUAUAAAUAUCUAACAGCCCUAAUUCUUAGGGAGUUGGUGGAAUUUAUAAGAAAGGGUGGGAGUAAUUCAGGUGGAAAUAAAUAAGCUGAUUACGGUAGGUGAGUGGAUAACUUGAACAACAGAAAGAGAAUAUCCAACAACAUUAGUGGGACAAAAGGAGCACAGGGAGCAAAUGUAGUUGGUCUGGAGGAAUGUGAUUAUUUCAAAAUUAUCCUGUAGUGUGAAGACAUUGAGUUGGCCACAAAGAGGGAGUGGCAAUAUGGAGUAAAAAUUUCGCCUCAUGGCUAAUUAUAUGCCAUGUGACUCAUUCUGAACUGAUAUCUUACUACACAUCCCACAAAUUUUUUUCUUGUCAUAGAGAUGUACAGCACGGAAACAGACUUUUCGGUCCAACUUGUCCAUGCCAACAAGAUAUUCUAAAUAAAUCUAGUCUCAUUUGCCAGCAUUUGGCCCAUAUCCCUCUAAGCCCUUCCUAUUCACAUACCUAUCCAGAUGCCUUUUAAAUGCUGUGUCAAAACGGCCUCGAUAGAUAUAGACCAACUUGCCACAGAUUUAUAGAAAGAAACUGAAUUUCUACAAAGAAACAGGAAAAACUAUGACUUUAAUAAGUUAAUUAUGAAACAAUUAAACUAUCAUAUUAUUUAGUUUUAAAUAUUAGUUUAUAAAAAUCUGCCAGCUCUAGACUGAGACUUAGAAUGACUUUCUUUUCCUAGGGAAGCAUGAAGCAUCAAAGAACACACAUAUUCUCUGCAAGUGGAAUAGGUCAGUAUCUGAAAACAGAGGUUAUAGCUUGAGCAGUGACACACCACAUCAAGUAUGGCUGACGAGAAGUCUCUCUUGCUCCUACUGUCUGCCACAGGCAUGUCACAUGUUGGAAGGAUUUGCAGAUUGAUAGUCAACCUGUUUGACCACAUUAUGAAUGCGUCUUUUCUAGCUAUCAAGUCCUGGAGUUGGACUUGAACUCAGGGCUUCUGACUCAGAGGCAAGAAUGUGACCCACUGUGCCACAAGACACCUACCCUCUGCCACAAAUGUCGAGACCGCUAAAUAAAUGUGGAAUUCUU